rnacentral:rRNA from 1 species
GGGGGGGGGGGGGGGGGGGGGGGGGGGGGGGGGGGGGGGGGGGGAGGGGGGGGGGGGGGGCGGCGGGUGGGGGGCGGGGGCGGAAUACAUCGGAACGUGCCCGAUCGUGGGGGGUAACGAGGCGAAAGCUUUGCUAAUACCGCAUACGAUCUACGGAUGACAGCCGGGGACCGCAAUGCCUUGCGCGGACGGAGCGGCCGCUGUCAGAUUAGGUAGUUGGUGGGAUAACAGCUUACCAAGCCGACGAUCUGUAGCUGGUCUGAGAGGAUGAUCAGCCACACUGGGACUGAGACACGGCCCAGACUCCUACGGGAGGCAGCAGUGGGGAAUUUUGGACAAUGGGCGCAAGCCUGAUCCAGCCAAGCCGCGUGCAGGAUGAAGGCCUUCGGGUUGUAAACUGCUGUUGUACGGAAAGAAAAGCCUUCUUUUAAUACAGGAGGGUCAUGACGGUACCGUAAGAAUAAGCACCGGCUAACUACGUG